CCUAAGUAUAUCUCAACUAAAAAUAUUUAAGCAUACUGUAUAUAGUUGAAGCAGUGAAAUGACUUGGAUCUGAAAGAUGAUCAACUUAGAAAUAUUUGCUCUUAACCAGAAGACAGCUCUUUAAACAUUCUCACAUUUGCUUCUCAUACUGAUUAUGUUAAAUGAUACAUGUGUAUCUUUUCUGUAAUCAAGCCCUUUCUCUCUGCUCUGUUCACUUUUUCUCUCAUUCCACUGAGUUGACACACAGUCAUUACUCUGAGACUAGACAGUAAAUGUAGAUUUACAUUUACCUUCCCCCGCCCUUCCUCCCUCCUUCCCCCUCUCUCCCCCCCCCCCCUCUCUCUCAGGAUUGAACAAUCCAGGGGCACCUUGCCUCUGAGCUAAUCUCCAGCCUUUGGAUUUUGAGACAGGGUCUUGCUCAAUUGUUGAGGCUGGCCUCAACAAUUCUCCUGCCUCAGCUUCCUGAGUCACUGGAAUUAUACAUGUAUAACACUGUGCCUAGCUGAGCUUUGACCUUAAUGGGGUCCUUGGUUCCACCAAAGGCAUAAAAGCUAUGAAUGUUAAUAGGAUAAAGGUAGCAUUUUAUCAUAUGUGGAUUUUUGUUCAUCCUCUACUCUACUUC
rnacentral:lncRNA from 1 species